rnacentral:misc_RNA from 1 species
GAUGAAGAACGUAGCGAAAUGCGAUACGUAGUGUGAAUUGCAGAAUUCAGUGAAUCAUCGAAUCUUUGAACGCACAUUGCACCUCUCGGUAUUCCGGGAGGUAUGCCUGUUCGAGCGUCAUUUGUACGCUCAAGCUCUGCUUGGUGUUGGGUGUUUGUUCCGCCUCUGUGUGUGAACUCGCCUCAAAACAAUUGGCAGCCGGCGUACUUGUUUCGGAGCGCAGCACAUUUUGCGAUCCAGAUCAACGUACAGCGGCAUCCAAGAAGCCUUAUUUAACGCUCUUGACCUCGGAUCAGGUAGGGAUACCCGCUGAACUUAAGCAUAUCAAUAAGCGGAGGA